rnacentral:rRNA from 1 species
AGAGUUUGAUCCUGGCUCAGAAUCAACGCUGGCGGCGUGCCUCAGACAUGCAAGUCGAACGAUUAAAGCUCUCUUCGGAGAGUGUAUAGAGUGGCGCACGGGUGAGUAACACGUAAGUAAUCUACCCUCGGGUGGGGAAUAACAUUCGGAAACGAAUGCUAAUACCGCAUAAUGCAGCGGCUCCUAAUGGAGACAGUUGUUAAAGGAUUUAUUCGCCUGAGGAGGAGCUUGCGGCAGAUUAGCUAGUUGGUAGGGUAAUGGCCUACCAAGGCUACGAUCUGUAGCCGGUCUAAGAGGACGGUCGGUCACACUGACACUGAAUAACGGGUCAGACUCCUACGGGAGGCAGCAGUCGGGAAUUUUGGGCAAUGGGCGAAAGCCUGACCCAGCAACGCCGCGUGAAGGAUGAAGUAUUUCGGUAUGUAAACUUCGAAAGAAUAGGAAGAAUUAAUGACGGUACUAUUUAUAAGGUCCGGCUAACUACGUGCCAGCAGCCGCGGUAAUACGUAGGGACCAAGCGUUGUUCGGAUUUACUGGGCGUAAAGGGCGCGUAGGCGGCAUGACAAGUCACUUGUGAAAUCUCCGGGCUUAACUCGGAACGGCCAAGUGAUACUGUCACGCUAGAGUGCAGAAAGGGCAAUCGGAAUUCUUGGUGUAGCGGUGAAAUGCGUAGAUAUCAAGAGGAACACCUGAGGCGAAGGCGGGUUGCUAGGCUGACACUGACG